GCGUCCGUAGCUCAGCUGGAUAGAGCACUGGUUUGCGGUACCAGCGGUCUCAGGUUCGAAUCCUGACGGGCGUG
rnacentral:tRNA from 1 species